rnacentral:lncRNA from 10 species
GUCUUCACUGCACUCCCCCCAAGUCAUCUCCCCUCUCCUCGCUCCACACGCCAGAGUUUCAUGAAUCUAUACUUUAAUAGUUAGUGUUUUUUGAUGCCAUGCCAGAUUUAACUCUGAAGUGGAGUUAAGGUAGGAUGAAGAAUCUUCUUCCCACUAAAGAAUUUAUUUCUCCCUCUGGAUUUCCUUGGAAUAGAAUUAAAAUAGAAAUAAAUAUAAAUUACAUCUGAUUUCCUGCCUGC